CUUUUUUUUUUUUUUUUCCCUUUCUCUGCUGCCUUCUUCUCACUUCCUUAAUGCAAUAGCCCUUUAUGUUGAUGAGCGAACUGAAUUGAAGCCCAAACAGCCACAAAUAGGAAAGGGGGCAGGCGUUCAAGUGCAGCAACUUUUAGAGCUUGAAGAUUGAACGGACAAGGGCUGAGGUCAUGAGGCUACGCGAGCGGCGCAGGAGAGUACGAGAGCAAGGAAGAAGAGAGCUUAGGGAGUUAGGGUUUCUUCAUAUUAUUAGGCUGGGCUUUC
rnacentral:misc_RNA from 1 species